GACGAACGCUGGCGGCGUGCUUAACACAUGCAAGUCGAACGGUGAAGGGGUCUGCUUUUGUGGGCCCUGGAUGAGUGGCGAACGGGUGAGUAACACGUGAGUAACCUGCCCCCUUCUUCUGGAUAACCGCAUGAAAGUGUGGCUAAUACGGGAUAUUCUGGGUCUGUCGCAUGAUGGGUCUGGGAAAGAUUGCGCCUUUGGGUGUUUUUGGUGGGGGAUGGGCUCGCGGCCUAUCAGCUUGUUGGUGGGGUGAUGGCCUACCAAGGCGGUGACGGGUAGCCGGCCUGAGAGGGUGGACGGUCACACUGGGACUGAGACACGGCCCAGACUCCUACGGGAGGCAGCAGUGGGGAAUAGUGCACAAGGGGCGCAAGCCUGAUGCAGCGACGCCGCGUGAGGGAUGGAGGCCUUCGGGGUGUAAACCUCUUUCGCCAGUGAAGCAGGCCUGCUCCUUGUGGGUGGGUUGACGGUAGCUGGAUAAGAAGCGCCGGCUAACUACGUG
rnacentral:rRNA from 1 species